CCUACGGGAGGCUGCAGUCGAGAAUCAUUCACAAUGGGGGAAACCCUGAUGGUGCGACGCCGCGUGGGGGAAUGAAGGUCUUCGGAUUGUAAACCCCUGUCAUGUGGGAGCAAAUUAAAAAGAUAGUACCCCAAGAGGAAGAGACGGCUAACUCUGUUCCAGCAGCCGCGGUAAUACAGAGGUCUCAAGCGUUGUUCGGAAUCACUGGGCGUAAAGCGUGCGUAGGCUGUUUCGUAAGUCGUGUGUGAAAGGCGCGGGCUCAACCCGCGGACGGCACAUGAUACUGCGAGACUAGAGUAAUGGAGGGGGAACCGGAAUUCUCGGUGUAGCAGUGAAAUGCGUAGAUAUCGAGAGGAACACUCGGGGCGAAGGCGGGUUCCUGGACAUUAACUGACGCUGAGGCACGAAGGCCAGGGGAGCGAAAGGGAUUAGAUACCCGAGUAGUC
rnacentral:rRNA from 1 species